UUUCGGGGUUCCUGGGUGUCACGAAGAUCUCAGUGAAACCUCCAAAUGAAAGAACCUAGUGGGGAAACCCCCACUUAAUUCCUGAUUCAGUGUUCACCCAAGAAUCAAGAACAGACGA
rnacentral:pre_miRNA from 7 species